rnacentral:rRNA from 1 species
CCUACGGGAGGCAGCAGUGGGGAAUAUUGCACAAUGGGGGAAACCCUGAUGCAGCGACGCCGCGUGAGUGAAGAAGUAAUUCGUUAUGUAAAGCUCUAUCAGCAGGGAAGAAAAUGAGGGUACCUGAGUAAAAGGCCCCGGCUACCACCGUGCAAGAAGCCGGGGUAAUACGUAGGGGCCAAGGGUUAUCCGGAUUUACUGGGGGGAAAGGGAGCGUAGACGGCGUUGCAAGUCUGGGGGGAAAGGCGGGGGCUCAACCCCCGGACUGCUCUGGAAACUGUACGGCUGGAGUGCAGGAGGGGUAAGUGGAAUUCAUAGUGUAGCGGUGAAAUGCGUAGAUAUUAGGAGGAACACCAGUGGCGAAGGCGGGUUACUGGACUGUAACUGACGUUGAGGCUCGAAAGCGUGGGGAGCAAACAGGAUUAGAUACCCCUGUAGUC